GCGCACGGUGGUUUAGGGGUUAGCACGUUCACCUCACACCUCCAGAGUCGGGGGUUCGAGUCCCGCCGGGUCCA